UGGACCUCAGAUCAGGCAAGAUCACCCGCUGAGUUUAAGCAUAUCACUAAGCGGAGGAAAAGAAACUAACGAGGAUUUCCCUAGUAACGGCGAGCGAACCGGAAGUAGCCCAGCUUGA
rnacentral:rRNA from 5 species